rnacentral:ribozyme from 1 species
UUAUCUAAUUUUUCACGCGCGAAGCGAAAAGCAAAACAAAACAAAUCACUCUUCAACUAGGGAAAAGAAGUUCCAACAUCUUGACACACACACACACAUACAUCUACCACAGCAACAACAAUCACUCCCAAAAAUGGACUCCAAAUCAACCGAAGCAGAAGAAUCAAAGCCCAUUCUUAAAGAAUCAGG